CAAGGCAGACCGGCGCGGCGGCGGAGUCGCGGUUCGCGUUACAGAGCGGGACGAGGAAGCAGGGUGAUGGCAGCACUGAAGCCUUUUUUGCUGAGGAUUGGCUUGAAUUUGUAAGUGGCUUCUUCCGUGAUGGGAUGAAGGAUGUGAGCCCUCAAACCUGAGGGUUGCCUGCUUUAGUCCGGGGCCUCCCACCUGGACAGUGCCUUGGUGCUCUUCCUGCUCAAGGGAGGAUGCCAUGUGGACUGAGCUUGAAGAUGUGUGGCAGGUCCUCUCCUGGAGGGAUGAAAUUGAUGGAGGGAGAGGUCCUGGUACAGCUGGUGUUUGAGAGGAUAUUCAACAUAUUGGUUGGGAGCUGGGCUCUUCUGAGAGCUGCAGAGGUGGAAGUGGUGGAGCUGACCUGAGAGGCUGGAAGCAGAGAGAUGGAAGCCAGCUCCUCCUGGCCCUGUUUUCUGCCUGAAGAUAAAGUUCAGCUGACUUCACAUCUCAGGACAUUUGAGCUCUUAUAUUUUCAGAUUCAGUAAUCUUAAAGUGCUGAAGUUCUCCUUGUGGUGCCAAACAGCCCAGAUUGCAGAUAUUUUUUGUCCUCCUCAGACCAUUAUAAUUGUGAUUCCAUAUGUAUAUCCUAUAUGGUCAGAACUUCUAUUCACAUCCUCCUCUCCACAACCCCCAGAAGGGAACCUCUGUGUCUGUCCUCCAGUUUCACAGAAGACAAGGAGACUGAAGUGAGUGCUUUGAACGUGGUUUUCCAAAUGUUGAACUACCAUAUUAGCCAGUUUCUCUCUCAAGCUCAGGGGAGUCAGAUCUACAUUUUUUCCCUGUCUAGAAGAAUACCUCAUCUACCUCGCUGGUAACUUCUCAGAAUUUCAGCCAAGUGACAAAAGUAUUCACCUUCGGAGAACAAUUCCUACCCUUUGAAGUGUCCUUAAUCUUAAUGAGGUGCUGAAGUACGAACCCGAGUCCCUAUAAGGUGCAAAGCCUGUUGGAAGUGGCUGCAGAGGGAUCGGGUACCGCCACGCUUAGCUGUCAAGACUCAGUACUGAAUGAAACAGAUUCUCCUGUAAGGAGAGAACUGCUCCUCUGAGCGAUUGUUUCUGAACAGCGUAUGGAAUCAUGAGUACAAGAAAUAACAAAAAAAUAGCACUAAGUAGGAAAUGAGUUCCAAUAUUAAAAGCCCCGUCAUGAAAUACUGAACUAGAAAAAAAAAAAAAAGACCUAACACUCUCCUUGGUUCUUCUUUUCCCACACCAAUAGGAAUAAAGCCAGCCAAAGCAGCAUUAUUUCAGACAGGUUCCAUUUCUGCAACAUUUGAUAUGCUUCACAGCUUUCAGUUACCUCAGGCAGAGGAGGCUCACUAUAAAUUACUACAGAAAAUAAUAAAGUAGUCCAUGUACAGAAGAAAAAAAUAUAUAUAUUCGCAAAUACUGAGAUAGAAAGAAGCAUAUGAGGAAACCUUUAAUGAUGCCUUUCUGAGAGCACUACAGUUCUCCUGCCCCCAGCAUUAGAAACCAAGCAGAGGAGGCACGAGACCAGCGUGUGACAGAGCAGUGACCUGCUGGGGAAAAAAACAAGGCAAAAGAAGGAAAAUGUAACAGCUGAGGAAACAGGGACAUGUAACCUGGGAAGAAUACACGGAUGCUUUCCAGACACGCAGUGAUGAGUAAACCAACACGCAGAUGAAACUGAACUUGGUAGGAGACUUAAAAAAAAUAACAAAAAGCAAUUGCUACAGGUACACCAGUCAGAAGACAAAGGCCAAGGGAAGCGUACUGCCUCUGAUAAGUGAGAAGUGAGAAAAGGGAAUGACAGACGUAGGGAAGGCUGAGGUGCUCAGCCCAAUCUUUGAUGGCAGUCAGGUUUUCCAUAUCUCUCGUGUCCUUAAAGACAGGGCAUGGAGGAGCAAAAUCCCUCCGGCUGUAAGAGAGGAGCGAGUCUGAGGCCACCUGAAGAGACUGAAUGCGUACAAGUCUGUGGGGUGUGACAACAUGCACCCCAGGCUCCUGAGGGGACUGCCUGAUGCAACUGCUGUGCCACUCUCCAUCGCAUUUGAUGGCUGUCAGGCAAGUCCCCGGUGACUGGAAGAACAUCACAGCAAAGCAGAUGAAUGCCGAGCUGUAACCUCGAUAAAGAACCAUCACCUGUGCCACAUCCAAACGGACUGACAUAAUCAGGGUAGUUCACCUACCCUGCACAGCUCUCUAUUUUCUAGGUGUCUCCUUAUCGAGAGCAACUUGAUUUUACAAGCUGCAAGAAGGAGCUCGCUGACAGAGCCAAGAGGCUUGGGCUCAGUCAGUUCAGACACUGUGGGCUCUCCUUCACACGCCCACAGUAGACACGUGGGGAGGCUUCGUGAUUUCUCAGUGCCUACGAUACUGUGCAGCACAGGUACUUUUCCGGAAGAGAAGCCCAUGAUGCCCACUGCAGCACUCACCAGUAAGGUGACUAAACGUUCAACCCACAAUGAACUACUCCCUUUUUUUGGCUUUACUCCAAUCUUUACACAACAAAAUUAAAAACGAAAGAAUUCAAAAUGGUGCCACAGAAAGUUACCUGAUACGUCCCCAUAAUUUUCGAUGUCUCCACUUCCAGGAUAACAUUUGCCACCAUAAAAAUCCAGGCAGAGUAGGGCACAGCAGGAAACUCUCUAUUCCCCAUGUUGACAUAGCUCCCACAGGUGCCUGAGCUGCCUGCAGAUCCACAUGUGAUUGACACAUAAAUACAAAUCUGGAAAAGUAGUGAUUGCAUUUCAGUAUGCAUUGCGAUCCCAUCGAGGCAACAGCCAGAGCUUUACUGCACUGCUGUUAAUCUGACAUUUUAUCCCUCUCCCUUUAUGCUCCAUUUACCCCUGCUUCGAGAAUAGGAGCAGUAACUUAGUUCACCUGAAACUGCCCUUCCGUAAUGCUGCAAUGGGAUGAUAAUAGCAGGGUGGCAAAGUCUUUGGCUAAAGCAAAUGAGAAUGAACCCAAAUGCAGCAGCCACAGAUACUGAAA